ACCCAAUAGAUACCCCGGUAGUCCACGCCCUAAACGAUGAUGACUAGUUGUUGGGGAGUUAAAUCCCUUAGUAAACGCAGCUAAACGCGUGAAAGUCAUCCGCCUGGGGAGUACGGUCGCAAGAUUAAACUCAAAGGAAUUGACGGGGGCCCGCACAAGCGGUGGAUGAUGUGGUUUAAUUCGACGCAACGCGAAAAACCUUACCUACCCUUGACAUGUGCGGAAUCCUGCAGAGAUGCAGGAGUGCCCGAAAGGGAACCGCAACACAGGUGCUGCAUGGCUGUCGUCAGCUCGUGUCGUGAGAUGUUGGGUUAAGUCCCGCAACGAGCGCAACCCUUGCCAUUAGUUGCUACAUUCAGUUGGGCACUCUGAAGGAACUGCCGGUGACAAGCCGGAGGAAGGUGGGGAUGACGUCAAGUCCUCAUGGCCCUUACGGCCUGGGCUACACACGUGCUACAAUGGCGGUGACAGUGGGCAGCGACCCCGCGAGGUGAGCUAAUCCAUAAAAGCCGUCUCAGUUCGGAUUGCACUCU
rnacentral:rRNA from 1 species